rnacentral:rRNA from 1 species
UACGUAGGGUGCAAGCGUUGUCCGGAGUUAUUGGGCGUAAAGAGCUCGUAGGCGGUUUGUCGCGUCGGCUGUGAAAACUCGGGGCUCAACCCCGAGCCUGCAGUCGAUACGGGCGGACUAGAGGUAGGCAGGGGAGAACGGAAUUCCUGGUGUAGCGGUGAAAUGCGCAGAUAUCAGGAGGAACACCGGUGGCGAAGGCGGUUCUCUGGGCCUUACCUGACGCUGAGGAGCGAAAGCGUGGGGAGCAAACAGG